rnacentral:rRNA from 1 species
ACAGUGGACGCGAGCAUCUUUGUGGCCAAGUUAGUAAGGGCACACGGUGGAUGCCUUGGCACCAGGAGCCGAUGAAGGACGUGGGAGGCUGCGAUAUGCCUCGGGGAGCUGUCAACCGAGCUGUGAUCCGAGGAUUUCCGAAUGGGGAAACCCGGCAGGGCUUGAAAUCCUGUCACCCGCGCCUGAACACAUAGGGCGCGUGGAGGGAACGCGGGGAAGUGAAACAUCUCAUUACCCGCAGGAAGAGAAAACAACCGUGAUUCCGUGAGUAGUGGCGAGCGAAAGCGGAUGAGGCUAAACCGAUGGCGUGUGAGAGCCGGCAGGCGUUGCGUGGUCGGGGUUGUGGGAGCGUUCGGGCGGAUCUGCCGAUCUGUCGAGGAGUGAGAAAGCGUCGUGUUAGUCGAAGGUCAUGCGAAUGGACUGCCGUAGAGGGUAAGAGUCCCGUAGGCGAAAGCAUGGCGUCUCCUGAGCGUUAUCCCAAGUAGCACGGAGCCCGUGAAAUUCCGUGUGAAUCUGGCGGGACCACCCGCUAAGCCUAAAUACUCCCUGGUGACCGAUAGCGGACGAGUACCGUGAGGGAAAGGUGAAAAGUACCCCGGGAGGGGAGUGAAAUAGUACCUGAAACCGUGUGCUUACAAUCCGUGGGAGCGGGGGCUUGCCCCUGUGACCGCGUGCCUUUUGAAGAAUGAGCCUGCGAGUUUGCGAUGUGUGGCGAGGUUAACCUUUGUGGGGGAGCCGUAGCGAAAGCGAGUCCGAACAGGGCGUUUGAGUCGCAUGUCCAAGACCCGAAGCCGAGUGAUCUAUCCAUGGCCAGGUUGAAGCGCGGGUAAGACCGUGUGGAGGACCGAACCCACCAGGGUUGAAAACCUGGGGGAUGAGCUGUGGAUAGGGGUGAAAGGCCAAUCAAACUCGGUGAUAGCUGGUUCUCCCCGAAAUGCAUUUAGGUGCAGCGUCACGUGUUUCUUGCCGGAGGUAGAGCACUGGAUGGCCUAGGGGGCCUACAAGCUUACUGAAGUCAGCCAAACUCCGAAUGCCGGUAAGUGAAGCGUGGCAGUGAGACUGCGGGGGAUAAGCUUCGUAGUCGAGAGGGAAACAGCCCAGAUCGCCAGCUAAGGCCCCUAAGCGUGCGCUAAGUGGGAAAGGAUGUGGAGUCGCGGAGACAACCAGGAGGUUGGCUUAGAAGCAGCCACCCUUGAAAGAGUGCGUAAUAGCUCACUGGUCAAGUGGUUCUGCGCCGACAAUGUAGCGGGGCUCAAGCGCACCGCCGAAGCUGCGGCAUACACACGUGUGUGUAUGGGUAGGGGAGCGUCGUGUGGCGUGUGAAGCGGCGGGGUGACCCAGCCGUGGAUGCUACACGAGUGAGAAUGCAGGCAUGAGUAGCGAAUGACGGGUGAGAAUCCCGUCCGCCGGAUGACUAWGGGUUCCUGGGGCAGGCUAAUCCGCCCAGGGUGAGUCGGGACCUAAGGCGAGGCCGACAGGCGUAGUCGAUGGAUAACGGGUUGAUAUUCCCGUACCGGCGCUGAUGCGUCCAUGCUGAACCUGGUUCGUG